ensembl:lncRNA novel transcript
ACUGCAACCUCUGCCUCCCAGGUUCAAGCAAUUCUCCCGCCUCAGCCUCCCAAGUAGCUGGGAUUACAGGUGCGUGCCACCACACCUGGCUAAUUUUUGUAUUUUUAGUAGAGAUGGGGUUUUGCCAUGUUGGCCAGGCUGGUCUCAAACUCCUGACCUCAGGUGAUCCACCCACCUCGGCCUCCCAAAGUGUUGGGAUUAUAGGUGUGAGCUACUGUGCCCAGCCUGAAAAAUCCUAUUGCAGAUGAGAAGAUGUUGGUAGAAUUCACUCACUCCUGUGUCCCGUCCCAAAUUGAGCUCAGCAGUGUCAUAAACACACCUGAAAAACACUGUAAACAACCCAGAGAAGCCCCUGAAGGAGUGAACCCUUUCCUAAGUACAUUCUCAUCAAAUGAAAACGAGGACUCCGGAUUCAAAGUGAAGAUAACUUCUCCCAUGGUUUCUAUUCUCAGCCUUGCUCCGUCGGGGCUUCCUUGCUUUUGGAUUCUUGAGCAGGGGCUGCUAUCAGCAAACCCGGUGCCUUCAGCCUCUCCUAGGACCCUUCUCCUCACCUCCACUUUGGCCAAAAUCUGCCUGUUCCAGGCAGGUUGCAUUCCACCCAGCUUUCAGGCUGAGAUUGAGUAGGUGUUCUCCCUGGCUCCUGCAUCUGUUAGCUAUUGCUGGGUGCAAACCAUCCUAAAACUGGCUUAGAACCACUAGUGUGCAUGGGUCUGCAGGCCAACGGGGGGUUUCUUUUCUUUUUUUUUUUUUUGAGACAGAGUCUCGCUCUUGUUACCCAGUGUUACCCAGGCUGAAGUGCAAUGGCGCAAUCUCAGCUCACCGCAACCUCCGCCUCCCAGGUUCAAGUGAUUCUCCUGCCUCAGCCUCUGGAAUAGCUGGGAUUAUAGGCAUGUGCCACCAUGCCUGGCUAAUUUUGUAUUUUUAGCAGAGACGGGGUUUCUCCAUGUUGGUCAGCCUGGUCUCAAACUCCCGACCUCAGGUGAUCUGCCUGCCUCAGCCUCCCAAAGUGUUGGAAUUACAGGCGUGAGCCACCGCGUCCAGCCCAACUGGGGGUUUCUUCUGGUCCCAGCUGAGCUUACUCAUGAUUUUGCAGUCAGCUGUGUGUUUGAAGCUCUGCUGACCUUGACUUAUCUAUGUUUGGAGGUUGGCUGGCAAUGGACACACUGGGAAAACUGCACUUCCAUAUGUGGUUUCUCAUUCUCCAGCAGGCUAGCCCACGCCAGGAGAGAAGCAUGCAAGUCAUCUAGAGGUCCGGGCUUGAAUCUGGCACUUCUAUUGCAUUCAGUUGGCCAAAGUGAAUGGCAGGCCAUCCUAGAUUGAUGGGAAGGAAACUUCAUCUCUUGAUGGGACUGACUGCCAUGUCAUGUUGUGAAGGGCAGGGAAUCCACAUAGUUUACUGUCCAGUCCAGAACAUCACUCCACCUUUCUCCUGCCAGAGCUACGCUCUUCUUACUCCUGAGUCGGCAGAGGAUGUGCUAGAGGGCAACCUCAGACUCUGAUGGUGCAGUAAGAGUCAAGGAUGAACGACCAGACCCUAGCUCACUGGCCCCCCCUUUUUUUUUUUUGAGACAGGGUCUUGCUCUGUCAUCCAGGCUGGAGUACAGUGGUGCGAUCUCAGCUCACUGCAACCUCUGCCUCCCUGGUUCAAGUGAGUCUCAUGCCUCAGCCACCCAAGUAGUUGGGUUUAUAGUCAUGAGCCAGUACACCUGGCUAAUUUUUGUAUUUUUAGUAGAGAAGAGGUUUCACUAUGUUGGUCAGGUUGGUCUUAAACUCCUGGCCUCCAGUGAUCUGCCCACCUUGGCCUCCCAAAUUUCUGGGAUUAUGGGCAUGAGCCACAGCACCUGGCCGCCCCCUGGCCACUAUUAGGAGGUUGGCAUGACAGAUGAGCAGCCAAUAUCCACUCUUCCCUCCUGCCUGAGAAUGGGCCUAGGAGUACAGUCUGAACCUCUGAGCCACCCAAAUCACUGCCAUUCUGGGGGAAUCUACCAUCAAUCCUAACUUCAAAAGGGAAACUAGAAAUCAGGGAGGUGAAGGCAAUAGGGCUGGCAACUCACCUUCUUUCCACAAACAGGAAGGAUUGAGGCCACUUUAUGGAGAUGGUGACAGUAAUAUGUCUUCGAUACCUGUUGUGUGGUCUGCCAGGUACUCAUUCCCAUUUCCUUCUGAAAGUGUAACUCCAAUUUCUCUUGGAAAACUAUCCCUUGUAGCAUAUCCAUCCUUGUAGCAUAUCCAUCCAUCCAUCCAUUGUAGCAUAUCCAUCCUUGUAGCAUAUCCAUCCAUCCAUCCAUUGAUCCAUUGAUCCAUCCAUCCAUCCAUGCAUCUGUCCGUCCAACAAAACUUGGUUGUGUUCCAGUGAUGCCCCAGCUCCUGGGGAUACAGAAACGAACAAGAAAAAGUUCCUGCAUUCAAGAAGUCUACCCUCUGGAGGUAUAAAGCAUGUAAAUAAUCAGACACAAUGCAAAUCCAGAUGAUUAGUGUUAAUGAGGAGGUCAAGCAGAGUGAGAGGACAGAGACUGGGUAAGGUCUCUGGAGAAGUGACAUCCAGUGAGACCUGAAUGAUGGGAAGACCUGGGGGAAGAGCACCCCGAGUCUUUAAUCAUCUGUGCAAAGGCCUAAGACAAGAGAAUCUUCCUCAAGAAGCCACUUUCCGGGGCCUCUUGACUAGAGAAGUGUGUGGACAGAAACCCCAGGCAGAGCAUCUGGGGACACAAAUGAGGAAAUACUCAGAUUCUGCCAGCAAGGAGCCAGAAGAAGGAAGAGACCGGCUAGCAAAGGUGACUGCAUAAGAUCAGGUUAAAUACCAAGAAGCCAGAUUGCUGGGUCAUAUGUUGAACUUUAUAAGAAGCUGCCAAACUAUUUUCUGGAGUAACUGUACCAUUUUGCAUCCCCACCAGCAAUUUAUGAGACUUCUAGUCACUCCACAUCCUUUAUAACACUUGUUAUUAUCAGUAUUUAAAAUUUUAUCCAUUUAAAUAAAUGUGUAGUG